rnacentral:piRNA from 1 species
UGGCUGCUUUUCCAGAGGACCCAGG